rnacentral:misc_RNA from 1 species
UUGGAUAGCUAGUGUUUGUAGGCUCCGUGCUCGCGCAUCGAACUACAGACCACCUAUCCUUCUCAGUUGCUUCACGAGCAAAUUUAUGCUCGUUGACGAGAUCCGGGGCUUGUGUUGCGUACCUAACUAGAAGGAAUUGUUGAGUUUGGCUUUAAACGUUGUUUACGGCUUAUCCUUCGAUGGGUAUGUUGUGAACACAAAAUUCGGCACUUGUGAUCCUUGCGUGUCUUGGCACUAACAAUGCCUUGUUCGUAAAGGUGAAUAAGCUGUCGGUUGGAAUCUGGGAUGCGGAAAAGUUAUGGACUGUGGCUCGAAUUAAUUCAGUCCCGCCAAAGCAAAUUUGUCCCUCGGGC